ACUCUGAUUUUACGCAAAAAUACAGGUGUGCAAACAUGGCCUAAGCGCAAACGAAUAAUAGUGGAAGUGAUGUUUUUAGGCAAAUCGCGACGUUUAAAAAACCAGGGUUUAGUGGGUAGAUUUGGUUGGAGAUUACCAUAGUGUCUACCAACAGUUUGUCGUGAUUCCUGCCAAAGGACCGACCAGGAGGCUAGCAUUUGGGGUUUAGUCAUGGCGAGCAGAUCUCUGGGAAAGCACUUACAGUAUUUGCACACGCCAAUUCUUGUCGCAUCCUUUGCAAAGGCGUCUACUGCUUCGUUGCCACUGAUCCCAGUGUGACCGGGAAUCCAGGCCAGAGUUACCUCAAUUCCCGCACAAUGACAUCGGUACAGAGCUUCCUUAAUUUGGAGGGUGAUGGAGAAAUUGUCUUUGGAAUGAAACGGUAGCUUAAUAAUGUCUUGGAGGCAACUUAGUGAGUCUGAGAAAACCAAACAUUUAUUAAUUUUAUGGGACUCAAUAUAUAAAAUGGCUUCGAGUAUUGCAAUUGCCUCUCCCGAAAAGACCGAAUUCAGAUAGGGGGAUUUAAAACUGAGUACGACAUUGAACUUGGGGAACCAAACCGCGGCUCCCAAGUCGCCAUGUUCGUGUAAUUUUGAAGCGUCGGUAAAAACAGUAGUCCAGUCAUGCCAUUCUCUCUCAACUAUAUCGUUGAAGACUUGGUUUGCUCCAGGGGUAUCUUUCAUGAUGCCAAAACUAAGAUAGACUGUUGGGCGAAACGUUAAACAUUUAAAAUCAGUUUCAAACAACGGGUUCAUAUAAUUUUGGUAAAUAGGGAAUGGGAGAUUGGAAAUUUUGUUAAAACUGUUGAUAAGAAGGGGGGGUUUCUUGUGUGACCAAUAAUUGGAGGAAGGGAUAAUCUCCGACAAGGAUUGCAAUACGGGAAGCAAAGGGUGAGAAGAAUAUUGAAAGAUCUUGAAGAGGAAUCUAUUAGCAAGGAAUUGUCUACGUAGAUGUAGAGGGGGCUCCAGACAUUCGACUUGAAGAGCGUUUGUUGAAGGAAGCCGCCAUAAUCAAAAUGACUUCUAAUGAUUGCGUUGUACAGGAGCUUUUGGUUAUACGGAUGUGAUCCCCAACGAACACCAGAAAGUGCACUUUCAGGGAGGCGUCUCUUGCGGGAAAAAACGACAGCUGUGCUUUUGUUAGCUGAAAGAGAGAGGCCGUGAUCGGUAAGCCAAGAGUCUAGGUAAAAAAGGGCAGAGUUGAGGCGUCUUUCAGUAUCUGAAAAAGAUUUGGAACAAGCGUACAGGGCGAUAUCGUCUGCAUAUUGCAAGAUUUUGCAGAAGCAAUUGACUGAAGUGCCGAGGUCAGACGUGUACAAGCUGAAAAGGAGAGGGCUAAGAACGGAACCUUGAGGCAAGCCGUUCCAGACCAUACGGGAGGGGGUUGUGGAACCGUUAACACGCACUGCGAUAGAGCGACCCAUAAACAUGUUGUAAAUGACAUUGAUCAUCUUCACAGGAAUACACAGAUUGAGCAUCUUCUGCCAGAGUAGUGGAAGGUUCACGUUAUCAUAAGCUGAUGUUAUGUCUAAGAACACACCUAUGACGUGUUUUCCCUCGGAGAGGGCUAGUCGAACAUCUGAUGAAAAAAUGCUUAGGCUGUCCAUAGUGCCCAUGCCUUUUCGGAAGCCAAACUGGCUUCUGGGUAACAAUCCCUUGCUCUCUACUAUCCAUUCCAGACGGUUUUUUAUUAGGUGUUCCAUGAUUUUAGCUAAAACAGAUGAUAGGGCGAUAGGUCGAUACGAGUUUGCAUUAGAUGGGUCUUUCCCAGGUUUUAUGAUUGGAAUGAUAAUUUGGGUUUUCCAUGAAAUAGGGACUAUGCCAGAUUCA